rnacentral:rRNA from 1 species
AACGAACGCUGGCGGCAGGCCUAACACAUGCAAGUCGAGCGCCCCGCAAGGGGAGCGGCGGACGGGUGAGUAACGCGUGGGAAUAUGCCCUUUGCUACGGAAUAGUCUCGGGAAACUGGGGGUAAUACCGUAUACGCCCUUUGGGGGAAAGAUUUAUCGGCGAAGGAUUAGCCCGCGUUGGACUAGGUAGUUGGUGGGGUAAUGGCCUACCAAGCCGACGAUCCAUAGCUGGUUUGAGAGGAUGAUCAGCCACACUGGGACUGAGACACGGCCCAGACUCCUACGGGAGGCAGCAGUAGGGAGUCUUAGACACUGGGGGCAACCCUGAUCUAGCCAUGCCGCGUGAGUGAUGAAGGCCUUAGGGUUGUAAAUCUCUUUCAGCUGGGAAGAUAAUGACGGUACCAGCAGAAGAAGCCCCGGCUAACUCCGUG